UACGUAGGUGGCAAGCGUUGUCCGGAAUUAUUGGGCGUAAAGCGCGCGCAGGCGGUCCUUUAAGUCUGAUGUGAAAGCCCCGGGCUCAACCUGGGAACUGCAUUUGAAACUGGCGGGCUUGAGUGUGGCAGAGGGGGGUGGAAUUCCGCGUGUAGCAGUGAAAUGCGUAGAGAUGCGGAGGAACACCGAUGGCGAAGGCAGCCCCCUGGGCCAACACUGACGCUCAGGCACGAAAGCGUGGGGAGCAAACAGG
rnacentral:rRNA from 1 species